UACAAAUGAAUGAUCAGAUCAGGCCAGCAAGCUCCUCUGCAGAAACCUCCAGGACUGGGAGGUCACGUCUUCCUCAUGUGUACAUCCUAAAGCUGUGCUAUCCAGGGCAGAAGCCACUUGCCACAUAGCCAUUAGCCGCACUAGCCACGUUUCUGGUGCCCGGCAGACGCAUGUUUACAACGCAGAACAUUUCCACCCUCACAGAGGGUUCUUCUGGGCAGCUGCUCUGAGCCGGGCACAGGGUCUGCUCGUGGAACCCGCCAAACCCUAUGUCUGUCUGUAACCGUUGGAAUGUCAGCUUGCGCAGGUGGCACCUUCUUGUGCGGGUGAGAGCUAUCAUGAUCCAGUGCAGCUGGGGAAGUACCAGAUGAAGGGGGAUCCUUUCUCUUGCUUGAAGGUUUGCAACUGUGGUCAAUGCCUUGUGGAAGGGCUCUGCCUUUGCCAAGCCCAGGGAAGGUCUGAGGACCCAGAGGAAGGGCAAGUGAUGCCGGCUGAGCCAGCAUGGCCUCAGAGGGAGUUACAGGAAUGGUGGAGCCCCUGUCUCUAAUAACCUGCUUGCUCAUGCUUGUGUCUCUAAAGAUUGGGUGUUGGAGAGCCUGUCUGACUCUGGAACCGAUGAUGAAUAGUCGUCAGAUAGGGAACUGCACUCAGAAGGAUUGGUUGCUGAUCGCUUAGAUUCCACCCACAUCUGCCUAAUUUACCCCAAUAACCACCAGAAGCCUAGCAGAACGGACUCUCCGGAGCCAAGCAUAGACAAGAGGCCCACGGAAGAGGGUCUGUCUCCCUCCCGUUGCCACUAGGCCCCUCCAAAGCGGACCACCGAAGUCAAAGCGAGCUGAGCCUGCCCCUCCCGCCCCUGUGCACCUUGCAGACCCACCCCGGCUAAUACGCCAGAUCCCAUCGAAGCAGCACCACAAGCCUGGCAGUGUGCAAGUAGCCCAGACAGAGGCCACACCACUCCACAGUGAGUCCUGCUCCUGGGAGAGGGGGAGAUAAGGUACACGCCAGUCUGACUGUGGCCUCAGCGGUGGGCUGGGGGCAGACAUCAGGUCUGACUGCGGCCCCGCCCACCAACUCAAGUUACUCCAGACAGCACAGAGGAAGAGCCCUGCAGUUCCGCGCCACUCCAGGGACUAGCCAAAAUGACCAAACGGAGGAAUUCUCCUCAAAACAAACUCCAGGAAGUAGCGACAGCUUACGAACUGAUCAAAAACGAUGUAAGCAAUAUAGCAGAAAAUGAAUUCAAAAUAAUAGCCAUAAAAUUAAUCGCUGGGCUUGACAAAAAGUAUAGAGGCCAGCAGAGAAUCUAUUACUACAGACAUCAAGGGACUAAGAAACAGUCAGGAGGAGCUAAAAAAUGCUAUAAAUGAGCUGCAAAAUAAAAUGGAAGUGACUACAGCUCGGAUUGAAGAGGCAGAGGAGAGAAUAGGUGAAUUAGAAGAUAAAAUUAUGGAAAAAGAAGCUGAGAAAAAGAGAGAUAAAGAAACAUGGCCACUUUGAAAUGGUCUUACCGCUCUGCUUCUUUGAAGAAUUCUUACUUCUUUCAUAAUUCUUCCUGAGAAGGACACGAAGUUGGGGUCAAAUUUCAAAUCCCAAAGUUGGAGUUCCUUUUGUGCACUCUUAUUUCUGAAAGUUAAAAUGUCCACAAAUCAAUCGAAAUGAAGUAAGCAAAGGCAAUGAUCCACUUAUAAAAUUCUCCUCUAAUCUAAAGAUGUCUUGUAUUGUCCUCUGUGCUGACAUGGUACAAAGAAGGUCCCUGGUACCCUGAAAUCAUGAGGUCUUCGCUCUCACAUUUGCGCAGGGUCUUAGGAUCUUUCUAUAUUAUUCUCCCCCCCCAGACUUCCCCUAAUUUUGCACUGACAGAAAAAAAUAGAGUUGUUCCCUCCAAGGUAUCGUUUUCGUCCCAACUGUCACAUUUUAGUUGGAGCAUGUGAGAUGCCAGGGGUUCUACGCAGUCUCCGCUUCAGGACACACACACACACACACACACACACAGAGAAAAAUAACACUUACUUUUGUACAAUAUUCAUGAAUCUUUGUAAUUCAUGCUGCCUUUUUUUCUGGAUCCAACCUUGUAUGCAUAGCCAUGUCUCUCUUCACUCUGUAGUCUUUAUGCAUUUCAUCUGUUAGACCUUUCCAAAAACAAAGUUUAGAAAAGAUAUAGCUAAAGAAGCAAGAAUAGUGUAAACUCUCUCGUGUAAACGAGAGAAGCCUUGACCACUGCACCUGCAAGAGGAAGAACCAGCAGAGAGAAUGCAGCUCUGGGCCAUAUGGAGUAUUAUGAAACGCUGGUACUUCUACAUCCUAACACCUGGGGCUCAAAAGGGGUGGACUUCUCUGAAGACUGCACAAAUCUGUAGUACCUGUCAGGUAGCAUAGCUCAGGAACCAGCAUUAUAGGCUCAUGGGGCGUGUCCUGUUGGCUCUUUUUCCAUUUGCCUUUGCUGACCAAAAGUGGCUGAGUUAGGGCAGUGACCACUAGACCAUGUUGCUGCUCAACAGAAACAAGAAAGAACACUGCUGUAACUAUCAGUGAAGCCUCAGCAGAGUCACAUAAAUAUGUACAGAAGUGCAUUUUGGGGUCACCAACAGAGGCCUGGGGGUGUGCUGGUGAUACGGUUUCCUCAAGGUUAAGAACGCAUCAAAGAUUCUCUUAAUAUUCUCUUAGUUAGACGUCCCGCAGAUGGCCUCUUUUGUUCUCUGUCAACACACGUAGCCAAGGAGAGCGGGAUGCUCACAGACAUUAUAUUGGGGGUCAUUGUACGAUCCUUUCACUACAUAUAAGUAAAUGUAUGACAGACUCUUAGGAUCUGUAUUUCUCACUACAGCACUGUCUUAAAGAUUCCUCAAACAUACUUGAGAACUUUCAAGACGAUUCCCAAACGAAGGGGUGGGCAACAAACCCAGUCAACUUUUUAGAGUUGGAACUCCACAUCUAUUCCCAACAUGCCUCUUGCAUCAUUUCUCCUAAACUCUCAGUCCCUGCUUCCAGGAGGAAGAGAUAUUUGCCAAGACAUCCUACCCCUGGGCUGCAAUUUCCAUGCCACAAACUGCCUUUACUCUCCAACACACAGCAAUGGUUCUUCAUAGAUCCUUCCAUGCCGAUCAGGAAGGUCCUCAUCAGUAGGAAUUUAGCCACAUCAAUUCUGGUUUUAUCUGACUGCUAAACAUCCCGAGAACUUCAAAGGAGUUCCUACCCGCGACAAAACUUCACAUCCAGUGUUCAUGGCUCUUUUUCUCUUAAGCUGAACUAUUAGUUUUCAUUCGUAUGAUCUCAUUGCAGACUAUACAUGGUUUUUUUUCACCCUUAGAGUGGUCUUUAGUUAUUUGAAAGACAGCUGGGAUUCACCCCCAUUUUCCUGGUUCUAGAGUCUUAAGGCCCAAGCUUGUGCAGGUGUCUACAUGUGUGUAGAAUCAUGGCAUCCUUUUAGGGCCUCAUCUAUCAAAACCUUUGGACGAGCUAUUCUUCCUGUCAAAAACUUUGGGAAACACGCCUCUUAUUUCCCAUAGCUGCCAUGCAACAUCCUAGAAGGAUCUCCUCCUCCAACAUCAACUUCUGCACCUAAACAGGAGUUCUGUGGUCCUUCUUUGCAGCAUUAGGAAACCUUUUUGGAAGGCCAGGAUUGUACUUUCCUUCUAAGGGCUCAUCGAUCGAUUCCAGGAUUUUUCUAGAUCUCAUGACAACAGAACAAAUAAAUUGCCAUCUGUCAUUAGACUGAGUUCCCACCAGGGCAUCCCAAGAUGACCCAAAUCGUUUCAAAUAUUUCAGCCCAUCUGUUUUUUUUUUUU